rnacentral:misc_RNA from 1 species
CUGAAGUGAUUUGGGGAUGUUGCUGGCCUCUUUCUUUUUGAGGGGGCAAUGUGCACUCCCUGAACAAUUCACAAUUUCCAUCACACCCUUGUGCACAUCUUGUAGGCGCCCACUCACCUCUUUUGGUCGGGGUGUCCUAUGUAUUCCUUCAUCUCACACUUUAUUGAAUGGUGCUCUUGAACGCAUCUCAUGGAUUAUUUGUAAAAAAGUAAUCACAGAAA